rnacentral:lncRNA from 1 species
GGGGAUAAUAUUUAAACAUACAUAGUCUUAAAUGACACAGCAGUCACCCAUGUGUAUGUUGAAAAGCCUUCAGUCACAUUUCAGAAUUCUGCUGUUGUUUAGCAAAAUCACUGGAUUAUUUUUUCCCUUCCUGGUUUAGGAUAUCAUUGAAAUAUCUUGAUAUAAUUACUACCAUAUUUUGUCAUUAGUUUGUCAUAUUCUUUAUUUCAUGGACUAACUGCCCAGAUUUUAGCUAUGCUGAAAUGAAACUUUCUCUGAAAUUUUGAUUUUAAUUCUGAGAUUGGAUGAUCCCAAAUAUAAUCUAUAGCACUGUAUAAAUUUUGAGUCUAGAAUUGUAAAGAAGCCAGAAUCUUCCAUGAGCAUGUGCAGGGUUUUACCAUAAUUCCGGAGUGGAACAAUCAGCAUUCAAAAUCACAUGAAGCUAGGCACUCUCUUCCUUGCCCCUUCCUCAAUAAAACGAUAUCCACCCAUGAGUCACAGGCCAUUCAUUUCCUUGGGCUUGGUGUUAGUUCUGCUCCUAAACUCUCAUGAACCAUCAGUGGAUAGAAAAUCAAAUUAAUACACAGGAGAGAUUAUCAUUGUAGGGGAUUUGUGGGAGCCAGACACUUUUCAUGAGAAGAGACUGUCACCUCCAAGGAUGUUAUUUGAAUCUGAAAAGAGGCGGUCAUAAAGGAAGUGGAGCUGCUUUAAUCUGCUGCUGUAGGGAGCUGCCACCCUGCUUACUGCUGGGCGGCCUCCCCCCAUAGGCAGAAUGAUCACUCCACUGGAGAAAGCAGCUGAGGUUUGCAAGCAGUUCCAAUUUUGCAGUUUCAGGAAUGUGUCGGAGCUGCAGCUUUAAGAUGGCAUUUCCCCCCCUCGCUGCUGUGGAGAGCCCCU